CUGCUGGCUGUUUAUUGAAAUCCUACCCCUCCUCUGCCUGGCUCCUAAAACAGCUUCUCACAGGCGCCUUCCUGGCCUUGCCCGGCACAAUCACUCCUGAACUUGGCCUCAGGAACUCUGUGGCUGGCACGCUGCAGCCUGCCCACCCACAGUUGGCCUGACCUCCUUGAGGGACCAGGCUUAGCAUCCCGCCGCUCUGCUGGGCUCUGCACACACUCGGGACCCAGAACUGCCUAUGGCCCUGAAACGGAGCCCAGAGACUCCGUGAAUGUGGACCAACGUCCAGCAACGCAGCAGAUCUUCCGAAGCCUCCCACCAGCACCCUUGGUCCCAUCCGUCCGUUUGGGCUUCUGCUUCAGUUUCUGGACUUGGUCCCAGCUCCUCUGCUUUACUAAAACCACAACCCCGGGGCACUCCCUUGUCCCAAGAUUCAUCGCCAGAGCCUGAUCCAGAGUCUGGUGAGAUGCCCACCGUCGGAGGAAGGCAUUGCUUAGGCAGGACAUACAACAGCUCAGAUUCUUCCAGAAGGCAGAGGCCUGAGUCGAGGUCCCAAGGCCCUACCUAGAAAAUGCAACCCUAGAGCUGACCCCCCUCCUUGCAGGGAGCCAACAGCAAUGUGUCUCCAGCAGCUGGAGGAUGGACUCUGUCACCCUCACUGUCCCCGCUCCCCACAGCCAGACUAUGGCGGGACAGAGGAGGGACCUGUUGCAGACUCUGCCUAUUGAAUGAGCAUUUUUCUAAUCCACGUGACAGUGGGAAAAAAAUGACAGAAAAGGGGGGGGUGUCAAAGGGUGGUUUUCUAACCCUUUUGUCCCUUUAUUAUAAAAAUCCCUUGAAGAAGGAAGCUCAGCCUCUCCUUGCAAGUCUUCACUGAGCACAGAUCAAAACAUAAGCAUGGUGGGGGUGGGGGGUGGGGGGUAGGGGAUGGUUAGCCUAGUCAGCAGCGCACUUGCCUCACAGGCAUGAGGACCUGAGUUUGAGCCCCCAUGGGAAAGCCAUGUGAAAAAAUCCUGGAUGUGGUGGCACACGCUUGUGAACACAAUUGUGGCUGCAGAGACACAGAGGUCAACGGGGCUGGCUGGCUGCUCAGACUAGCCUCUAUGGCAAGUCCCAGACAAGGAAACACAUUGUCUCAAAAAGCAAGGUGAGUGGCACCUGAGGUUGACCUCUGUCCUAAACACACACACACACACACACACACACACACACACACACACACACACACACACGCGCGCACACACACCUAACCACACAUCUGUGCCGCCUCUACCUCACACACACACAUAAAAGCAGAACACAGACAUUCAACCAGAGCUUCCUCAGGUUACAGAACCAAUGGGCAUGGACUUGGGGGGUCCACAGAGUCUACACCACCCCCAGUUUCACAGUCAGCUUCCUUAGAUGCCUGCUGCCUGAGCUGGACCAGACGUCACCGUGACAAUGGGGCCUGUCCCUCAGGACUACAGAGUGUCAGUCAUUAUGGUGGACACCGAUAGGUCUGGUACGCGCCCAGCCCUGCCCACAAAGGAAGAGUAAGUGUCCACCUCAACUGAGGAUGGGUGCUACAUGUAAGUGACAUUCUAGGAUGAAAAAGA